UUUUUUUUUUUUUUUUUGGUUGUGUUCAGUCAAAACAUAAUUAAGGCUUACCUUACCCUUUUUUUCCAUUCUAGGAGCAGUUGUUUUGCAUCUGUUUCCUAGAACUGGAGAGGCUGCUUAGAUAGCAUAUUGCCUUUACAAGCCAUUUUAUGGUGAAUUCCAGCAGAUUAAGGCAUAAACAUUUCUGGAAGGAUGUCUGCAAGCUCUGCAGUAUUCCAUCCAUACCGUGUUCUGUUUGUUCCACUGCAAAAUAUGACAUCAUUGUUCCUGACACCUCGGAGAGGAGCUCUCGGCUGCCCAUCCAUCGGCUGAGGCUGUAACAAACAGCCAAGAGUGCAGUGCCACCACACAGGAUUGCAGCUGCCCCGUCUGAAUCCUCCCACUGGGAUACAUCUGUCAGAUGAAAAACUCAACGUCAUUUGCUUGUUACUGCUUUAGGGUUUUGUUUAGGUUAUGGUUUGGUUUUGGGGGAAAAAAAAUCAACACAGAGGAGUCAAGGAAAUAGGCUUUUAGCUGGUGGACUGUAACUGUACCAAAGCUUUUUGAUUUUGAAUCAUACUGCACAUCUGCUCACAGCAGCAGGAUUGCAAAGGUGCCUGCUGCAGAUUGUUGGAGCAACAAUUAUUCUUUGGAAACACCCUGUCCUAAAAUGUAAUUCAUUGCUUUAAGCAAAAUUGUAUUCUGGAUUAAGCACAACUUUUAACUUCUAAAAGUGCCAUAUGAACUUUUAUUAUAACAAAGUCAGAAGAUAAGAAUUUGGCACCAACUUGCUUUCUUUGCCAAGUGCAUGGAUCUUCUCUCCAGGGGAAUGGUAGAUUUCACUCUGAGACCUUGUAUUCCCAGAAAAACAGGUAUUACUGUAUUUAGGACCAGCAUGCGUGACAAACUGAAACAAACCAGGGGAUGUCACACGAUACAGCUGAGAGAAAACAAUGUAAUUUACAAAAGGAUUUCAGCUCCGUCCUUCCUCUCAUCUCUCAUCAGCUAAAAUGCUUGUUUUUGUCUGGCUGCACAUCACUUGUGAUGUGACUUUCACAUUUGACAAAAUAAACACGCAGAUCUUGUAGGCUGCCUUUUAAUGCUUUUUUCCCUGUCUUAUACCAAGCUGAAAUUAUUUCAAGUAUAAUUACUUAGAACAGACACUAAUGCGUUACAGUUUGCACUUUGCAAACAGGUUAGUUAGUCUUCAGAAAUGUAAAGUGGAAAUUUAUACAGCACCCAUGGUUAGAGACAAAUAAAAUUAAUGACUGUUGGGGUUUCAACGGGCCAUUGUGUGCAAAAGAACUCUAAGUAGCACCCCAAUCUUCAUACCAUGCUAUUAACUUGAAUUGCUAAAACCCAAGGAGCUCCUUAUGAAAUAGCUGACAUGAAAUAAGCUGACAUGUAAAGAUUUGCAAUAUGCAAAGAACUGUGAAGAGAAGAAACACUAUGCACAAAAAACAAGUGAUGAAAGUUUAAAAAAAAAAACCUGAGUAACACAACAAAAAGGUAUAAAAAUUUGUAUUUAUAUUAUGACGAGAUAAUGAUACAACACAAUACUCCGUGUGCUACAGAACGUAGCAAGCGCCAUGUACGUGUGUACAAAUGAAUCUGUAUAAUACAGUAAAAUGCAUCUCACAGACUAUGAACCAUUCCUUUGGCUCUGGGACCCAGAGGCUCUGGCACAGAACCCACUUUAACACCUUUAGGUAACAAUUUUACCAGUAAGCAGCAGAAGGCUCUCAGUCAGUGCUUCACCUGCACCAAGAUUUCAUCUUAAACAUCCAUCCUGCACAGACCCUUCCAAUGCCAUAAAUCCUGUGUAACCACAGUUUAUGCCUCUCGUGCAAAAUGAAAGAAAGGAAUUCUGAACCUGGGGCACCUUCACUCUGCUUUGCCAACAGAGAAGCCUCUGGCUGGACAUGCCUCCAGGAAUCCUUUCCUGGGCUUAUUUACAAUACUUCAGGCAGAGAGAACAGCCAAGGUGACCAAAUGGUCUUUUCUGUUUCAUCUAUCCCCUGCAUUUUAAUUCUGGGUGGCUAUGGAACACGCUUGGAUAUUUUCUUUACAGCUGCCAAUUAACAGUGCAUUUAGACAGUCACUUAAGCAAAUUGGCUCAUUUCAUUGCUGGGAAAAUUAAUUUCUGAUGUGUUUGCCCCAUUAGUAUUUGUAAGGAGUACAGCUCUUCCUUAAAGGGUCUCAAUUAUUCUUCCAUCAAUUUUGGAAAGUGUAUAUUAAUGGAUUAAGUAUCAACACUGUUACUGGCUCAUACCACACGCAACCAAUGACCUCUACCAUUUAAAAACAAAUUUAACAGAUUUAUGAAAGAGUAAUUUGUUUUAAAGACAUUCCUUUAUCAGCAGCAUCAUAAAAUGAAAUGUAUAAAAGUAGUACUACUUAAUUAAAAGCUGUGAUGAUGUAGUUCUUUCAAAAAAUGUGUUUCUUUCCACAUGGCUGAUCUGCAAGGAUGAAAAAUUUCACCACUAAUUACCAGUCUGCCAAAAAGUUAGUAAAAUGGUGAAAUAAUCACUUGUCCAGGAGCAGAGACUGCUGUAAGUACCUCCAGGAAAAGCAGAAGUACUGGCCCAGAGCAGGUCUGCAGGCAGAGCUCACACUUGUAACUUCACUUCUUUCUGUUGCCCAGUUCUCCUUUUGGCAUUUUAAGUUCAUCCACUGAAAUGGGUUAUGCAAAGUGUACAGUCAGAUGCUCAGAAUAUUGUUAUUUAUCACUGUAAUUUAUUUGUAGAUCAAGUAACUUUUUUUCUACUUCUAUAAUUAUAUGCAUGUGGUAUAGUUGAACCCAUACUCAUCCAUGUCAAAAAUGUAACACCAUUGAAGUCAGUCUUAAUUCUCUUAAGUUAGAACAAGUUAGAUGUGUUAGACUUUAAGUAGGUUUUUUCAACUCCAAAUCUUACACUAAUAAGAUUGGAUUGAAACUCUAUAAAUACCACAUGGAAAACUGUCCUCAUGGAUUUUUUGGAUGCUUCUUUAUUUCUGUUUUAACCUGCUAAAACUCACUCUGGACCGAAUUUGUCCUUUGCAGGAGACAUUACAGGACCCAGUCUCUGGUUAGUAAUGUGUUACAGAGCUUCUAGUGCCAAACCUGCUCUUUUCAGAAGAUAAAUAAAUCAGCUGCAAUGGGCCUGGCAGGGUACAAGCUGGGCAGAGAGAGGAUGGAUGCGAAGGAGGAUUCAUCCUCUAAAUUGCAGUGGAGAAUAUGCAGAAAGAACUAACAAUUUUAGGCUGGUUCUUUGUGCCUCCCUUGGGUGAUGCCAGAGUGCAGGCACGGAGCUGGAGAAGCACUAAUCCAGGAGCAGUGCAGAGGCGUGUAUCCUCUGACACCUGCGUGCUGCAAGGGAAAGCCCUUCCUUUCUUCUCCCCCAGGAAACGGGCCAAACCUCUGUGUCUUCAGAAAAAGAACUCUGCGAUGACUUCAUCUCUCCAGAGCCCCUUCCACAGAGAAAUAGACCUAGCAGCCCUGUAAUCUUGUCCCUGCUCCUUUUCCGAUGUGGUAACUGCAGAGGAAAUGGAUGAGCUGAGCAGCAGCACCCCUUCGCCUGCUAAAAGCGCGGCCAUGACAACACAGCAGAGCUGCCAAGGCGGUGGCAGGACUUCAUCUUGCAGCAGUUUGCUUUUUGCAGUCCCACUGUGGGCACAGGUACACUUGUGCACACGCACGGGGCACACACACGAGUGCCCAGCUGAGAAAAGAUCAUAAAAAUAACACUGUCUGCAUCCCAAGGUGCUGUGGCCACAGGCAGUGCUGCACUGGCUGCUCAGCAGCAGGACCUGAAAGGUCAGAGCCCCGACUGUCCCCACUGACUGCAGCUCUGCUGGGGGGACAGGCCAGCCCCAGACCUGACCCUACAACUGCUGUGCACUGCCUCUAACGGGGCUGCUGCUGUCCGGGGGCUGUGCCUGAAAAUUCCACCUUAAAUUGGGCUGUGCUCGAGGGAGAAUGACACAGGCAGUAUGGUGUCAUUUUUCUUUACCAGCGUUAAUAGCUCCCAGCUGUAACAACUGAAAAAGUAAAAACAAAUAAACCCCUUUUAUUUCCACUCAAGAUUAUUCGAGUAAUUUUUAUUGAAAAUAUAAGAUCUACAAAGCCAUGGAUACCCAGCGUGGAAGAACUCAUUAAGUUAGCACAUUCAUCUUUAAAAGGAAAAUUUCAGGUUGACCUAAGGUACAAUAAUGUUCAAUUUAAAGUCUCAUUUUUCCUUCUGUAAGUUUCAAAUCUCUUUUCAUUAGGAGGUUCUGUGCAAGAGCUGCUUGUCAUGAAAGGAAACACUUUACAAUCCAUGAAUGUGUUCAUUAUAUAAUAAAUGAACAGCAACAAUAUACUAGCCUCUUUUUUUUUUUCCUGUUAACAGUCGUGUGUUAAAGUAAACUCUUAUUUUUUUUUUUCCAUGAUUUGGAAAUUAGUUACAUAUGCACCAAAGGAGCUAGUAAUUUCUGCUGCUUGUCAGCUACACACAAUGAGUAUAUUGCUGUGUGCUUUCCCCAACAAUGAGGAUUUUAGUAAUAUGCAAGGUGUAUAGAAUGUAAUACCAAAACCUGCAUCACAGAAAAGGUUAAUUGUUUUCUUAUUCAGCUGCCAGAGUUGAUAACCUUAGGCCCCUCCCCAGAGCCAAAGUAGGGGUGGCCAUCCAUUAGGUUAUGUAAAUUAAAUGUAUACGUUUCCUUGUUGGCAAGUUCCAAGCAGUAAGCGAGAGUGCAAACAAGGAUCUGUAAGCUGCCACAAAAUGUAUUCGUAUUUCUACUCCGUGUUGUAAGAGGCAAAGGGAGGACACGUAUGUCAGAUGUUGAAAGAACAACUGAACCUUUGCUUUUGAUCAUUAUGGUCAGUCUGUCAUGAGGUCUUGUAUCUGAAUGCUAAAAAUGGCACCACACUUGGACAUCCCAUAGCCUUACACAGUACGUUUGUGUUUCCCAAGCCACUGAGCGCUGGUCUCACAGAGACCCUGACUUUAUAAGCUAACAAAAAAUAGAUUUGGGUGCUGAAGAAUCCAAGGGAGGGCUCAUACAAAGACAAUUAACCCUCGCACCAAAACCUAAUUUCAUGAUUUUACUUAAAGCCACACUGAAUCAGUUGUGAGAGGGUGAAGAUAUAAAUACACCUCUCUGCUUCAUCCGUAAGAAGGUGGACAACUGACCAUUUGAACAGAGGGUCUUGAAACAAAGCUUAGUUGUCCUUUAAACAAUGAGAAGGAGAGGCAUACAUAAAUGGUCACCAAGGCACAAUAUGACAAAGGUGAAGAGUCCCUGAGACUCUGGUCUGGGUCUGUACCAUUCCCCUCCUUAUACAAGUAAAUGAGAACAUUUAGGAAAAUAUAAUACAAAAUCUCUUACAGGAAAUAUAGACUACACUUGC